GAUGAACGCUGGCGGCGUGCCUAAUACAUGCAAGUCGAGCGAACGGACGAGAAGCUUGCGUCUCUGAUGUUAGCGGCGGACGGGUGAGUAACGCGUGGAUCACCUACUUAUAAGACUGGGAUAACUACGGGAAAACGGAGCUAAUACUGGAUAAUAUUUUGAACCGCAGGGUGCAAAGGUGAAAGACGGUGUUGGUGUCUCUAAUAGAUGGAUCCGCGCUGCAUUAGCUAGUUGGUAAGGUAACGGCUUACCAAGGCGACGAUGCGUAGCCGACCUGAGAGGGUGAUCGGCCACACUGGAACUGAGACACGGUCCAGACUCCUACGGGAGGCAGCAGUCGGGAAUCUUCCGCAAUGGGCGGAAGCCUGACGCAGCCACGCCGCGUGAGUGAUGAAGGCCUUCGGAUCGUAAAGCUCUGUUAUUGGGGAAGAACAUAUGUGGAAGUAUCCGUGCCCAUUUUGACGGUACCUAAUCAAAAAGCACCGGCUAACUACGUG
rnacentral:rRNA from 1 species